rnacentral:rRNA from 1 species
UUGCCCGCUUUUGGAGGAGCAUGCGUCCUAUCAGCUAGUUGGUGAGGUAAUGGCUUACCAAGGCUAUGACGGGUAUCUGGACUGAGAGGUCGAACAGACACAGGGGCACUGAGACACGGGCUCCACAUCUACGGAUGGCAGCAACCAGGAAUAUUGGGCAAUGGACGAAAGUCUGACCCAGCGACACCGCGUGGAGGAUGAAGGCUUUAGGGUCGUAAACUCCUUUUAUCCCGACCUUCACGUCGGGGAGAAUAAGCACCUACUAACUACGUGCCAGAAGUCUCGGUAAUAUGUAGGGUGCAAGCGUUAUCCGGAUUUACUGGGCGUAAAGAGUGUGUAGGCGGUCUACCAAGUCUUAGCUUAAAUCCCGGGGCUCAACCCCGGUUCUGGUUAAGAUACUGGAGGACUGGAGGAUUAUUCGGGGUACUGGAACAGUUGGUGUAGUGGUGAAAUACGUUGAUAUCAACUGGAACACCGAAGGCGAAGGCAAGUACCUGGGAUGUUCCUGACGCUGAGACACGAAAGCUAGGGUAGCGAAACAGAUUAGAGACCUGUGUAGUCCUAGCCGUAAGCGAUGGAUGCUAGCUAGUGUGCAAGCACUGGCGUAAGCUAACGCGUUAAGCAUCCCGCCUGGGGAGUACGACCGCAAGGUUAAAACUCAAAGGAAUUGACGG